GGGUUGUGAGGUUAAGCGACUAAGCGUACACGGUGGAUGCCCUGGCAGUCAGAGGCGAUGAAGGACGUGCUAAUCUGCGAAAAGCGUCGGUAAGGUGAUAUGAACCGUUAUAACCGGCGAUGUCCGAAUGGGGAAACCCAGUGCAAUUCGUUGCACUAUCGUUAACUGAAUACAUAGGUUAACGAGGCGAACCGGGGGAACUGAAACAUCUAAGUACCCCGAGGAAAAGAAAUCAACCGAGAUUCCCCCAGUAGCGGCGAGCGAACGGGGAGCAGCCCAGAGUCUGAAUCAGCUUGUGUGUUAGUGGAACGGUCUGGAAAGUCCGACGGUACAGGGUGAUAGUCCCGUACACCAAAAUGCACAGGUUGUGAACUCGAAGAGUAGGGCGGGACACGUGGUAUCCUGUCUGAAUAUGGGGGGACCAUCCUCCAAGGCUAAAUACUCCUGACUGACCGAUAGUGAACCAGUACCGUGAGGGAAAGGCGAAAAGAACCCCGGCGAGGGG
rnacentral:rRNA from 2 species